GGGGGGGGGGGGGGGGGGGGGGGGGGGGGGGGGGGCGGGGGGGGACGUGCGGGGGGGAGCGGCGGAGGGGGGAGUAGCGCGUGGGAACGUGCCCGCGGGGUCGGAAUAACUCAGGGAAACUGGAGCUAAGACCGGAUACGCCCUUUUGGGGAAAGGCGUGCUGCCGGAGGAUCGGCCCGCGUAUGAUUAGCUAGUUGGUGAGGUAACGGCUCACCAAGGCGACGAUCAGUAGCUGGUCUGAGAGGAUGAUCAGCCACACUGGGACUGAGACACGGCCCAGACUCCUACGGGAGGCAGCAGUGGGGAAUAUUGGACAAUGGGCGCAAGCCUGAUCCAGCCAUGCCGCGUGAGUGAUGAAGGCCUUAGGGUUGUAAAGCUCUUUUAUCCGGGACGAUAAUGACGGUACCGGAGGAAUAAGCCCCGGCUAACUUCGUG
rnacentral:rRNA from 1 species